AGUGAACGCUGGCGGUAGGCCUAACACAUGCAAGUCGAACGGCAGCACAGUAAGAGCUUGCUCUUACGGGUGGCGAGUGGCGGACGGGUGAGGAAUACAUCGGAAUCUACUUUUUCGUGGGGGAUAACGUAGGGAAACUUACGCUAAUACCGCAUACGACCUACGGGUGAAAGCAGGGGAUCUUCGGACCUUGCGCGAUUGAAUGAGCCGAUGUCGGAUUAGCUAGUUGGCGGGGUAAAGGCCCACCAAGGCGACGAUCCGUAGCUGGUCUGAGAGGAUGAUCAGCCACACUGGAACUGAGACACGGUCCAGACUCCUACGGGAGGCAGCAGUGGGGAAUAUUGGACAAUGGGCGAAAGCCUGAUCCAGCCAUACCGCGUGGGUGAAGAAGGCCCUCGGGUUGUAAAGCCCUUUUGUUGGGAAAGAAAAGCAGCAGGUUAAUACCCCGCUGUUCUGACGGUACCCAAAGAAUAAGCACCGGCUAACUUCGUG
rnacentral:rRNA from 1 species